AAACAUAUGCUUUGGGACACUCUUAUUCUAACCUCACCACACUGUAUGGAUCGUAUGAACAUUGGGACGCAACUUUGUUUCUAAGGAGUUUCGGUUUUCGAAGACUUGCACGUACUGUACGCCAUUUGGUUUAGGACAUCCGUGUUGUGCGACAGUCGUUCGCUCUGUAACCUUCUGCGCUGUCACAAUCGCUGUGUGUGAUGCUGAACUUAAGUUGGAGGCAACUGAAGGAGAAAAUGUUACAAUGUCCUUCAAAACUGCUGGACUGGAGAGAGCCGAUCAAGUGAAGAUAACUUUGACAAGAGGAAGUCAGAAAAACCUGAUUGCGCAGCACUGUCGCUGUGUCCAUCGUGGAGACUGUAGUGUUGUGGAAACAGCGGGAGUCUUACUGAGAGCUGAAGAAGGAACCUUAACUCUUCUGCGUGUCAGCUCCAAUAACUCAGGCCUCUAUGAAGCACAAAUCUUCACUGGAAGUAAUGUUUCCGAGUUAAAAGCUACACUUGUUGUCAACAAACCACUUUGCUCGAGUAGACAUCCACCCCGUGCCUUCACCCCGAAACCUCACAACUUCUCUGAACACCGAUGGCUAUAUGCAGCAAUAAUAAUAAUGAUAAUUAUAGGGUUUGUCAGCUGUGGGGUUGUUUGUUGCUUCAGGAACGCAGGAGGGCAAGUAUCACUUACAUUUAUACUUUCUGUGAUGAAUAUGAGUGCUGCAGUUCUAAUGAUCUGUUAAACCAGGGGUCUCCAACUUUAUUUCAUUCGAUAGCUACUUUUUAAAAAGGAAAGUGGCUGAGAGCUUCCCAUGUUGUACAAAAACUUAAUGCAUCAAUCCAAACUGUUAUACACGGCAUUGGUAAAAUGUGCUGAAAAUGUACUGAUACUUUACACACACUGAAAUCAUUUCACAUUUCAAGUUAUAUGUCAAAAACCAACAAAUAGAAUUAACAGCACUAUGCUUUUUUGUGUGUGCAUAAACAUUGAAAUAAAAACAUUAACAAUGAUUUUCAUGGUAACCUCUGUAAAAAAAAGAAGCACUGCGCAUUACACGGAGGAAAGAUGAAAAGCAAAUGCCAUCGAAACUUUUCUAAAGAGUCGGUUCCCUAUUAUGCAUUCAUACAAUUCAUUCAAUCAUACAUUAGAGAGUAACAGAGUUAGGUUGGAUUCACUUUGAUUGUCUACAGUUUUUGUUUGUUUGUUUGGGUUUUUUUUUGGGCACCAGAAAAAAAAAAACUGCUCAGCUACAUUUCAUUUUUGGAGCAAGUGGAUGAAAAUUAAUGCAAGUUUAUUGUAAAACUCAAACCAGGAGCAGAAUGAUUGCCUGUUUUUAAAGUGGCUUAAGGACAGUGUGGUGCAGUUAAACCUGUUAAUUACUAAAUUAUUUGCUUGUUUUUGAAUGUUUACAAUAAAAGUGAAAGAAUGUGGUUUCAUGUAUAAAAUGAAAUGUGUACAUGUAGUUUUGACCUCAGCACCUUUUUUUAUUUUAUUUUAUUUGCAUCUUGUAAUUGUGUUAUUUGUGUUGAUUGUCAGGAAACGUGAGUCAGCAGCCUGAAGAAGCCAAAGAAAACCCCUUCUGUCUCCAUGUAUGAAGCUCUUCACUGGUUUAUGAAUUUCCUCAUGUCUUUUCAUGUAUUACAUGACUUUUUUCUUAAAGGCACAUGUCGGGCCUCACUAAAGUGAGUUUUCUGUUUCUUUACAGACCCAGUAACUUAAAAAAUUAUUAAUUGAAAAAAAAAGUAGUUACGCAGAAGUCCCCUUUAAGGCUUGUAGAGAAGACACUAAAGAUCAGCUCAUGGAUUUUAAAACACCAAAUAUUAAGGAUGCACUCAUAUCCAGUUAUUCAGAAUCACAUCUGAUGGUAAAGACAGUCUGCUGGUUAUGUCUCACACUUUGUGCUUUAUGGUUUAAGUUUUUUUACACACUCAAAAAAAAUUGGUUCUUCAGUGGUUCUUCAGGGUUAAGGUGCUAUAUAACACCACUGUGAUAGAAAGAACCCAUUAAGCCCCUUUAUAGUUCUUUAAAGGUUCUCUAACUCUCUCUUAGUUUAGUUGGGGAAAGAAUUAAAAAACUACAUUAAAAUAAUGUGUUAUACUGCAUUAAACGCUACACCCAUCAUCCCCAUCCCAAAGAAACCCAAAAUUAGAGGACUAAAUGACUACAGACCUGUGGCUCUAACAUCUGUGGUCAUGAAAUCAUUUGAGAGACUGGUGUUGGCUUAUCUGAAGGACAUCUCUGGACCCUUACUGGAUCCUCUGCAGUUUGCUUACUGAGCAAACAGGUCUGUGGAUGAUGCAGUCAACAUGGGACUGCAUUAUGUUCUGUAACAUCUGGACAGACCAGUGUAACGACAGUGCUCUCAGGACUUGAAGUGGGACAUUUACAUUGACUCCAUUGUUAAAAAAGGCCCAGCAAAGGCUGUAUUUCCUUCGCCAGCUACCACAGGAGCUGCUGAAACAGUUCUAGUCCGCCAUCAUUGAAUCCGUCCAUUUUUGUAUAUUGUUAUUUCCUAUUACUUAUCCUAUUUGUAUUCUUUUAUUAUCUUUGUCUUGUCUUGUCACUGUCAUUCUGUUUGUACUGUGGUAUCAUUGGUUAACAAUGUGUUUAUUAUGUCUGUGGGGGCUGACGGGUAAGUUUCCAGCAGACAAGAACCUAACCGGAAACUGACCUAGUAUAUUUUGCUAUCUCAGUUAAUUUCAUUCAGCACUAUUAAGCCCUUCCCAGUGCUGAACUGUCAUGGGUCCUUUGAGAAACUGAAUUUUUAAUUUUCCUAAGCUGUAAGUCAUAACCAUCAGAAUUAAAACAAACUCUUGAAAUAUUUCAGUUUGUGUGC